rfam:Bacillus marisflavi strain JCM 11544 scaffold2, whole genome shotgun sequence.
UUACAUGCGAUGAUGAGAAGAGUAGCUUUCAUGACCUUCAGACAGAGAGCCCCGGCAGCUGAAAAGGGGAGGGAGGAACGGGAGUGAACCAAGUCUCUGAGCAGUGCAUCGGAACCAGCCGGGGAUGGUGUGACAGGAGCUCCUGUUAUAGAGCUAGGGUAUAAACGUGUACCCGAAAAGGUCGAUAUGGCGACAUAUCGAUGAACUGGGGUGGCACCGCGAUGACAGACUCGCCCCCAAG